UACGUAGGUGGCAAGCGUUGUCCGGAUUUACUGGGCGUAAAGAGCGCGCAGGCGGUCGAAUAAGUCGAAUGUGAAAGCCCCCGGCUUAACUGGGGAGGGUCAUUCGAUACUGCUCGACUUGAAGGCAGGAGAGGGUAGUGGAAUUCCCGGUGUAGUGGUGAAAUGCGUAGAUAUCGGGAGGAACACCAGUGGCGAAGGCGACUACCUGGCCUGUUCUUGACGCUGAGGCGCGAAAGCUGGGGGAGCAAAACGG
rnacentral:rRNA from 1 species